rnacentral:tRNA from 1 species
AGAAAAAACUUGGAGUAAAAUGGGGCUGCUAACCUUAUUUUGAGUAAUUCGAUUUUAUUCUUUUUCUU